rnacentral:tRNA from 1 species
GGGGUUGUGGCUCAGCGGUAGAGCGCUCGCCUAGCAUGUGAGAGGCCCUGGGUUCGAUUCUCAGCAUCACAU